AUGCAAUUGGUUUCUGGGGGGCACAUGGCUGUGGCUGUCAAUGGUCAAAUUAGCCAGUUUUUUGCUAAUGGCAGGGGCCUCAGGCAAGGGGAUCCAGCGUCCCCUUUACUCUUCAACUUUGUGGCUGAUGCUCUAUCUCGCAUUCUCUCUCGAGCUGCCUUGGCUGGUCAUAUCACUCCGGUGAGCUCUCAUCUCAUCCCUAAUGGCAUCUCUCAUCUCCAAUAUGCGGAUGAUACUAUAAUUCUGAUGGAACUUAAUGAUAAUAGCCUCACCAAUCUGAAAUUCCUUCUGCUUUGUUUCGAAGCGCUCUCAGGUCUUAAGAUCAAUUUCUCUAAGAGUGAGGUUGUAGUGACUGGGGUCUCAGACGAAGAGGCGCAGCGGGUGGUGUUGGAAAUAUGCCCUAGAGGCAAUAAUAAAAGUGUUAUUAUUAUAUUUCUUUGUUCAUGA
rnacentral:rRNA from 1 species